UGGGGAAUAUUGGACAAUGGGCGAAAGCCUGAUCCAGCCAUGCCGCGUGUGUGAAGAAGGUCUUCGGAUUGUAAAGCACUUUAAGUUGGGAGGAAGGGCAUUAACCUAAUACGUUAGUGUUUUGACGUUACCGACAGAAUAAGCACCGGCUAACUCUGUGCCAGCAGCCGCGGUAAUACAGAGGGUGCAAGCGUUAAUCGGAAUUACUGGGCGUAAAGCGCGCGUAGGUGGUUUGUUAAGUUGGAUGUGAAAUCCCCGGGGUCAACCUGGGAACUGCAUUCAAAACUGACUGACUAGAGUAUGGUAGAGGGUGGUGGAAUUUCCUGUGUAGCGGUGAAAUGCGUAGAUAUAGGAAGGAACACCAGUGGCGAAGGCGACCACCUGGACUAAUACUGACACUGAGGUGCGAAAGCGUGGGGAGCAAACA
rnacentral:rRNA from 1 species